CAGCUAUUUGAUUUGGUGUAUCAUAGGUCUCUGCUACACAUUGAAGUUUGAGCAUCUUAAUAUUAAAGGUUGCAACUACGGGCCUCCUUAUGAGUGGCAAGUAUACAUUUCAAUGAAUGGAUGCUAUGUUAUUCCAUUUGUCCGCUACAAGGGCCGACAAGGUGAUUUCUACUCUGACCAUGUCUUUGGGAUGUUUGGAGUUCAUAUCAAUUCUUGAAAAGCUUCACUCAAAGGGGUAAUAUAUAUUACAUGCCUUACAUUUCAAAGCAUAAUUUAUAUGCUUAUACACCCAUAAGGAGCAGAAGGUUCAAUCACAUCAGUAUACUGCUAAAGUCAGGAUAGUUUAGUGGAUCUGUUUGUUUGAAAGGGCUUUGAUUACUGUUGUUGAGGGUUCAAAUUGCAUAUGGAUGCUACUUGGUAUUACUUCCGGUGAUCUUUUCAAUUGCAACCUCCGGCCAAGCUUUUUGGUUUGUUUUGUUUCUUUACUUUGUUCGUAAGGCUAAUGGUGAGCUUUUCUUCUCAUGUUCAUUUUUUAUUCAUGUUUGUUUUAUCUAUGUUUUGGUUUUGAUCAGGUUUGGAUCCCGAAGCAAGUGAUUAGCAAAUACAAAUUGCACUUCACUCUUCUCGAUAUUCAGUUUGAAGACUGAUUUUCAUUUACUAAAGGGGAUGAAGGGAGCACAAGACUAGAUGUGGAAGAACAAACCAACCGGUUUAGUUAAUUUUUGUAGUCUAUAUUUUUAAUAAUUAAUUAAUAUUGUAUAUUCCAUUUAUCUGAACCAUUUGUUUCAGUUUCACUUUUUGUUUUGUAGCUAUAGAAGACAAUCAACUGUACAUUUCAUUUUUUUGAACCUAUGAAGGUUGUGGCAUUACUUGACACUACAUUUCUUUAUCAAGUCGGCUGUCAAAUGGCUGCUAGAAGAGUGGAUCUAUGUUUUGGUUUUGAUCAGGUUUGAAUCCCGAAGCAAGUUGAUUAACAAAUACAAAUUGCACUUCACUCUUCUCGAUAUUCAGGUACGAGUGUAUGUUCAUUGGUCAAGUCAACCAAAAUUCGCUAAACUCAACUGUGACAUGUAUGAAACGGUGCUCUACGCAGUUGUCUACUUUCCGAAAGCCUUCAAGUAACUACCUUUAAACAACUCCCAGAGUAUCAUAAUUGUGGAAAAAAAAUAGGCUUGAACGGGUCCUGUAUGACACUAAAAGGAAGAGUGUCAUUUGUGCUUGAUUCCACAUUAUUAUUUCACUUCCUCUGGCAUCUGACCCUCGCGAUUUACAUCUUUGCUUUCCGCUUACCAGGUGAAGAUAUCAAGAAAUGCUUAUAUGUUGUUGCUACUUUACAAACUAAGGACAAUGACGAGGUUUACUUGAGUGAUAUGCAAUAAGGUUGCUUGGGCGAUGUUGUUGUUCUCUUCCAAGCAGACACGCGUACUGCGUACAACUUUAACACGUGUCCAGUUUCGUUCAAAGUUGAAAGAACAAGGAGCAAAGGAAGAUGAAUGAUGCAUAAUAUGGGGAUUGGAGUCGAGUUGGAUGAUGACAGAGAGUUUAAAGAUGAAUAAUGUUGGUGCUUCUUGGAAGAUGGCUGCUAAUAAGAGUUUUGAAGACUAAAGAUUUAUAUGAUCCCUGAACUUAUUAUUUUAUUUUAUUUAGACAUAAAAAGAUUUAUGUAUCAUUCCGUGAUUAAGUUUAUGAAAUGUUUAUAACUCCUAUUGGGAUUUCAUUGUUAA